UUAUGCAUGGGUGAUUAAACUUUUUAUGAAUUUGUAAGGUUAUGUAUAUUUCUCUAUUUGUUUUGAUAAAUACUUAUCAAGCAGGGGGUUUCUAUGAAUAGCAUAUAUGACAAAUGUGAUUUUACUCUGCUGUGUUGGUUCAGUGAACCAAGCAUCCUGAAUUCUUCCCUGAUAGGACUGGGCCUUUGACAUCACUGAAAAAAAGAAAUAGAUUCUGGGAAGGAGGUUUCAUCCGAGUAUCCCUGAACAUUUGUCUGGAAGCACUCAUCCUGUGACAUCACUAAAAAAUCAUAAUUUGGAUUUCGAUGGUCAGCAGGUGGUGGUGGUGGUAUUGGUGGUGGUGAUUACCUGAGCUGUAAAGGAUACGAGCUUGGUGCUGUGUCCAUCCUCUGCUCACAUUUGGGACCUCACUGCCUCGGAUACUUUUUAGAAGUUUGGCUUUGUCUGUGUAUGGAGGCCACCAUGAUAUGCCCUCAUGGUACCACUCUGCUGCCACCGGGCUUGUUGUUCCCUCAUCCACAAAUUCAACCAUUCGCGAUACUGACUGGCUGUUUGGAUGGACCUGGGAAGUGGACCACAUGCAUGAACUUUGUAUAAUCCCAUUCUUUUCCUAUUUCGAUUCAGUUUUUUGGGCCUCUCUGACAGUCUUCUAAUGACCUGACUGAGUGGGAAGCCAGGUUUUCUAAUUAGCUUUUUAAUCUGGUGAAGGAAAGAUUCAAAUUUAAAUGCACUGAAAUUAUCGAGUGCACCAUGUAUUUUUACAUCUUGUGCCAAGUGAACAAGGUUGUGUACAUUGUAAGACAUGAACUUUUCCCCAUAGAGCUCUUGAAAGUGUUUCACAAAUAAAACCAAAAUGUCAUUAGCAUACUCAAGAUGGUCUCGGAGUAGCUGUUUGCUGGAUAAAAUGAACACUCCCACAAAAAGUAGAAGAAAGUUUUGGUAUGCUGUUGUAAUGAGUGUGCUAUUUAAAAGAACAGGCCCACUGUACAACAAAAACUGCCGGAACUCAGUAGCUUUCCACCUGUCUAACUCUCUUACAGACCUUGGUUGUCGCGAGAAUUCCAAGGGAACAUUUUUACGGAUUUGCUGAAGUCUGCUUGAAAGGUUGUCAACAGUAGAGGCAGGCAGUCUGCAGGACAAAGGACCCCGUAGCCACAACAAAAGGAGCCUGCGCAUAACACCAAGGCACACAAGUCUCCACCAUGGUUUGUUGUGCUGCCUGGAGAUGCUCCUGUCGCUCAGAGUGACUGACACACAUCUUAACAUUACCAGAGAUUACACCAACAAAAAUGAGGUUUUGGCUCGAAUCUCAGCAUGUACAACGGACAUCAUCUUAUGGAGCAGCAGCUUAAGUUGUCUUCAACCUUCAAAAGUUCAAACACAUCACUUCCCUGCUGUGUACCCUUCCCUGGCUUCCUGUAGCAGCCUCCCCUUGAGUGAACAGCAGAAUGACUGUCUUAGAACAGAGUCAAACUUAGGAGAGUCUCCUAAAUUAUAGAAAAGCUCUUAGUGCUGCUAGAGCAAAAUAUUUCUCCUCGCUAGAAGAAAACAAAACUAAUCCUACAUUUAAUACUGUAGCAAAACUAACUAGGAAGACCACCACUACAGAAGCAUCCACACCAUCAGUAUUUAGCAGCGACAACUUUAUGAAUUUUUUCAGUGAUGAAGUUGAAAACAUAUGGCACAAAAUUAAUACUAUUAAUCUAAACCUGAGCAAUCUGAUGACAAACCAACUAGAUGUCAGUAUAGUUACAUCAGAUCAGCGUUUAGAGUCUUUUAACCCUCUCCGUGAGACCAAGUUAAUUUCACUAAUUUCUUGAUCAAAAUCGACAACAUGUAUACUAGAUCCCGUACCCACAACUUUCCUAAAACAGAUACAACUCUUUUAAAAAAGAUCAAUUCAUCUCUUAGUACUGGCUAUGUCCCUAAAUCAUUUAAAGCAGUUAUCAAACCUCUGGCAAAAAACCUAACCUAGACCCCUGCCAGUUGUCUAAUUACAGACCGAUAUCAACCCUCCCCUUCAUCUCCAAAAUCCUAGAAAAGGUUGUAGCACAGCAGCUAUGUUCAUACCUGCAUAGAAAUAACAUUUGUCAGUCAGGGUUUAGGCCUCAUCAUAGCACAGAGACAGCGCUGGUUAAAGUUGUGAAUGACCUGUUACUGGCCUCUGAUCAGGGUUGUGUCUCCCUGCUUGUACUGCUUGACUUAAGUGCAGCUUUUGACACCAUUGAUCUCCUUUAUAGGCUAGAAAAUAUUGUUGGAGUUUAGGGAACAGCCUAUUUGAGUGACCGUUAUCAGUUUGUAGAUGUAAAUGGUGAAUAUUCUAUGCACAGUAAGGUUAAGUUUGGUGUUCCACAAGGUUCUGUUUUAGGCCCAU